rnacentral:rRNA from 1 species
GGAUAACGUUUGGAAACGAACGCUAAUACCGCAUGAUAUUAUUGAGCUGCAUGGCUUGAUAAUCAAAGGAGCAAUCCGCUGAAAGAUGGGCUCGCGUCCGAUUAGGUAGUUGGCGGGGCAACGGCCCACCAAGCCGACGAUCGGUAGCCGGACUGAGAGGUUGAACGGCCACAUUGGGACUGAGACACGGCCCAGACUCCUACGGGAGGCAGCAGUGAGGGAUAUUGGUCAAUGGGGGAAACCCUGAACCAGCAACGCCGCGUGAGGGAAGACGGUUUUCGGAUUGUAAACCUCUGUCCUCUGUGAAGAUAAUGACGGUAGCAGAGGAGGAAGCUCCGGCUAACUACGUGCCAGCAGCCGCGGUAAUACGUAGGGAGCUAGCGUUGUCCGGAUUUACUGGGUGUAAAGGGUGCGUAGGCGGCUUUGCAAGUCAGAAGUGAAAUCCAUGGGCUUAACCCAUGAACUGCUUUUGAAACUGCAGAGCUUGAGUGGAGUAGAGGUAGGCGGAAUUCCCGGUGUAGCGGUGAAAUGCGUAGAGAUCGGGAGGAACACCAGUGGCGAAGGCGGCCUGCUGGGCUCUAACUGACGCUGAGGCACGAAAGCGUGGGUAGCAAACAGGAUUAGAUACCCUGGUAGUCCACGCUGUAAACGAUGAUUACUAGGUGUGGGUGGACUGACCCCAUCCGUGCCGGA